rnacentral:misc_RNA from 1 species
GAUGAAGAACGCAGCAAAAUGCGAUAAGUAAUGUGAAUUGCAGAAUUCAGUGAAUCAUCGAAUCUUUGAACGCACAUUGCGCCCGCCAGUACUCUGGCGGCAUGCCUGUCCGAGCGUCAUUUCAACCCUCAGGGCUCUCCGGCACUGUUCGGAGGGCGCUGGUGUUGGGGAUCGGCAGUCCCAGCGGCUGCCGUCCCCUAAACGUAGUGGCGGUCUCACUGUGACCUCCCCUGUGCAGUACUUCGCUCGCAGAGGGAUAGCGGUGCGGCCACGCCGUAAAACGCCCAACUCUUCAAGGUUGACCUCGGAUCAGGUAGGACUACCCGCUGAACUUAAGCAUAUCAAUAAGCGGAGGA